rnacentral:rRNA from 2 species
ACCUCAGAGCAGGCGAGAUCACCCGCUGAAUUUAAGCAU